AUGAAGAACGUAGCGAAAUGCGAUAAGUAAUGUGAAUUGCAGAAUUCAGUGAAUCAUCGAAUCUUUGAACGCACAUUGCGCCCCCUGGUAUUCCGGGGGGCAUGCCUGUUCGAGCGUCAUUUCACCACUCAAGCCUCGCUUGGUAUUGGGCAACGCGGUCCGCCGCGUGCCUCAAAUCGACCGGCUGGGUCUUCUGUCCCCUAAGCGUUGUGGAAACUUUCGCUAAAGGGUGUUCGGGAGGCUACGCCGUAAAACAACCCCAUUUCUAAGGUUGACCUCGGAUCAGGUAGGGAUACCCGCUGAACUUAAGCAUAUCAAUAAGCGGAGGA
rnacentral:misc_RNA from 1 species